AAGCUAAUUGCUGCAUAUUUGGAAGGUUGAUCUAGCAUUGAAUGCAUCAGGUACUUUUUUUUUUUAGAGAGAAAGGUAGUAUGCUACCUGCUUCUUUCAUUAAAGAAAUGAAUUAAACUACAAGAGUGAGGUAGAGGAACCUCCGAACGAUACCAAAAUAAUAAUAAAAAUAAAAAAUAAAAAAUAAAAAAUGAAGAAGAAGAAAACAUUUAAAAAAAUAUAUUUAAAUUCCUUUAAAUUUUGGGGCAAGGAU
rnacentral:lncRNA from 1 species